CACAGUGAAAAGUAGUUUAAAUAGAGUAAAACAUUUCCCCACGAGAAUUAUGUCAAAUGCAAUUUCCUGAACAUGAGGUCAUUUCAACCUUAAAAAAAUCCAUUUUAAUACUGUCUUUUGCGCUGUAGUAGUGUCAGUUAUAACAAAUGUCAUUGCAUGGUGCUUUUCAUAUUUUGUUCUAGCUUUCAGGUGAGUAUCUGUCAUGUCCUGCAGUUGCCAGCACUUUUGAACACCUUCUGACAUUUGAGGAAUCUCCUCCAUUUUGAGGCUGGCUUCCUAAGGUACAAGCCAGCACUCGGCUUCCAAGAUGGAGGUGGUGAGCCGUGGGUGGAGUGUUGGCACCACAUAGGUGCCUGGAGACCCUGGCAAGAGUCCAAUCCAUCUCCUCUCAGCAGGGCAGGGCCAGCCUGAGGGAUGUUCUGGCUCUCUUCUCCUCUGCAGGCUCUGGGAGGGCCAGUCCUGACGGCCAGAGGGUGGGACAGUGUUCAGGCUGGAAUGUACAUGCAGGCCACUGAUCCCCCACGAUGUUCCGUGGCCAAGUGGGUAGGCGGCAAUUCCAUCCAUUCCUCUCCCGGGGAGCUCUCUCAGGGGUGGUCCAUAUUAUUGACUGGUACUCAGAGAACCAGGGCAACGGGCUGGGCCAAGGCCUCCCGGGGUCAUGGCAAUGUUCCCGGGGAUCACUGGCGUCCAGGAGGUGGCAAGGCAAUGGGCUUCUCCGUGUGACCCAGUGGGUGAGGAGCCAGUUGGUGAUGUGAAUGUGUGUGCAGUCUCUCGGUCAAAGACAGCCAGCCUGCACAAUCUGGACAAGGGCCUGGCUGCCAGAUGGUGGCUCCCUGACGCUCCAGAACGCAGAAGCCUCGGCUCUGUGCUGGAUUCCAGGUCCUGGGUGGUGGAGAAUGGAGCAAAAGCCCUGGAAAAGGAAGCGAAGUGAAAGGACCAUCUGCAAUCUCUGGUGCACAGGAAGGAAGGAAAGCAUUGCAGAACAGUUAAGAUAAGAACGUAAACAUCUAGGUGGCAUGAUUUUGGUGUGUCCUGUUACUGAUCUGAAUUCACCUGAUGAGGCUUUUCUGCCAGUUUCCCCGACUAUACUUAACCCUUUGUGAUUGACGCAUAUUUUGAUGUGAAGUGCAUUGAAG
ensembl:lncRNA